GAUGAACGCUGGCGGCGUGCCUAAUACAUGCAAGUCGAGCGAACAGACGAGGAGCUUGCUCCUCUGACGUUAGCGGCGGACGGGUGAGUAACACGUGGAUAACCUACCUAUAAGACUGGGAUAACUUCGGGAAACCGGAGCUAAUACCGGAUAAUAUAUUGAACCGCAUUGUUCAAUAGUGAAAGACGGUUUUGCUGUCACUUAUAGAUGGAUCCGCGCCGCAUUAGCUAGUUGGUAAGGUAACGGCUUACCAAGGCAACGAUGCGUAGCCGACCUGAGAGGGUGAUCGGCCACACUGGAACUGAGACACGGUCCAGACUCCUGCGGGAGGCAGCAGUAGGGAAUCUUACGCAAUGGGCGAGAGCCUGACGGAGCAACGCCGCGUGAGUGAUGAAGGUCUUCGGAUCGGAAAACUCUGUUAUUAGGGAAGAACAAAUGUGUAAGUAACUAUGCACGUAUUGACGGUACCUAAUCAGAAAGCCACGGCUAACUACGUG
rnacentral:rRNA from 1 species